rnacentral:rRNA from 1 species
UACGUAGGGGGCAAGCGUUGUCCGGAAUCAUUGGGCGUAAAGAGCGUGUAGGCGGUCCGGUAAGUCCGCUGUGAAAGUCGGGGGCUCAACCCUCGAAUGCCGGUGGAUACUGUCGGGCUAGAGUGCGGAAGGGGCUACUGGAAUUCGUCGGUGUAGCGGUGAAAUGCGUAGAUAUCGAGAGGAACACCUGCGGCGAAGGCGGGUAGCUGGGCCGACACUGACGCUGAGGCGCGAAAGCGUGGGGAGCAAACAGG